UACGGAGGGUGCAAGCGUUGUCCGGAUUUAUUGGGUUUAAAGGGUGCGUAGGCGGCCAACUAAGUCAUACGUGAAAUCCCUCAGCUUAACUGGGGAACUGCGUGUGAUACUGGAUGGCUUGGAUUUGGGAGAGGGAUGCGGAAUUCCAGGUGUAGCGGUGAAAUGCGUAGAUAUCUGGAGGAACACCGGUGGCGAAGGCGGCAUCCUGGACCAAUAUUGACGCUGAGGAGCGAAAGCUAGGGGAGCAAACGGG
rnacentral:rRNA from 1 species